AAGGUAUAAAAGAAAAGGUCAUUCAGAUCAACAAACAACGAUCUCCUAUUUCUUCUACUCUGAGAAAAUCUGCUGAAGACGAAAGAUGACUGCAACCAUGUUGAAGGUAGUCAUUGUUCUUGCAUGCCUGCUGAGUCUAAUUGUGGCUGCGCCUAUGGAGCAUCAGCGCUUUGCCCGUUCCAGCUCUAAUGAGUCAAGCUCAACUCUCUCGCUGGCUAACCUCAUCACUCUUCUCCAAGCAAUUAUAGCUGCAGCUGCAGCAUAAAGCCUGCAAUGUUACCAGUGACCAGUCAGUUCCAAACCUGCUGUUCUGAUGGUCUUUCACUCAACAUUCAGGAAACAUUUUCCCUUCUGUUUGUUUGCAUGACAAAUAAACCUUAAGAAUGAAAA